UCUGGCUGACGGUGGUGCUGGGAUUUGAACUUGGGGCCUCAGAGCCUCAGGCAGGAGUCUAGCAUCACUACUCUGCUAUCUGUGAGCUUUGCUUGCAGAAGCAUCUACACAAGUGACACUUGUUGGAGCCUCAGGCUGGAAAGUUUGUUUUUUGCAUAACCUUUGUGCUGUCUCCAGACACAGAAAAUGAGGGGCUGAUACUCUUGAAGAUUUAUUUUAUUUUAAAUGUUUUUUGUAUUAUCUUUAUUUACUUAUUGGAUAGAGACAGAAAUCGAGAGGAAAGGGGAUGACAGAAAGGGAGAAAGAAAGACGCCUGCAGCCCUGUUUCACCACUCGCAAAGUUUUCCCCUGCAGGUGGGGACGAGGGGCUGAAACCCAGGUCCUUGCACCUUGAAACAGGUGGUGCUGGGUACUGGGACCUCGGAGUCUUGGGCAGGAAAGUCUUUUUGCAUCACCAUUAUGCUGUCUCCCUGUCCAUUACAAUAGAUUUUUCAUGCCCAAGGCCUCAGAAGGCCCAAGUUCAAGCCCUUGGCACCAAUGGAAGCCGAAGCUGACCAGAGCUUAUUGACCAGAGCUCUGGCGGAAAGUGGACAAAUAAAUAUAUGUG